rnacentral:misc_RNA from 1 species
GUCCAAAUUCUGCAUAUUCUCUACUACCUUGUUCUAACCGGUGAAGCUGUAGGACAAGGGGUCGACGAGUGACAAUACCAGAUCCACGAGGCAAAAAAUCCUUUCCGACAAUGCUCUCAAGCACUGAAGACUUCCCAGAGCUCUGGCCACCAACGACGGCGAUGGAAGGAAGGGCAUCCCAGAGAGUAGGCAAUGCACUCUCUUCACCAUGAUCGCCAAGGGCAGUGCAAGCUCUCUGUAAUCUGUUAACCAAUUGUAUGAGAUUCUCCAUUGAUCAGAGUCAAAGAUCGACGACUUGACUCAGGUGACAAGUGAAACAAUAAAAUAAAUAGCGUCGGCGCCGGUGAUUUACAAAUUGAUCGAUAGAUCGACGUCGAUUCAGAGAAAGGAGAGAAAAGGCCAACGGGUCGAAAUAAGAAUUUGAAAUUGAAACGGGGACACGGAGA